GUAGUUGUAGCCGGGUGGUUAAGGUGAUGGACUAGAAAUCCAUUGGGGUUUCCCUGCCCAGGUUCAAAUCCUGCCGAACUAUG
rnacentral:tRNA from 1 species